rnacentral:sRNA from 1 species
CAUCGUCCACAUUUUUACUGGUGGAUUCUGCACAUUCUUGCUCAACUUUGGGAAGCUCUGCUUCUACCCAUCGAAUCCAAUUCAUGUAUUUCUCUAGGUUAGAUUCCACUAGUGUUCGCACACUGUGGAUCCAACCCAUACUCUCCGGGAUGUUAGGGUUGCGUUUACCAGACUCCCAAUCUAACAUGUCCUGCUCUCGCUCUUUGCGCGCUGCUUCAGCCUUCUCCCUCCACCGGGGAACACGUCUGUGGAGAUAAUAAUGAUACUCCUUCCACUGGACUACUCUGGAUUGUUGUUUCUCAUCAAACUGUAGCUGGAUGUCGCCCUCAAUCCCUUCCUUUUCGCGGUGGUCAUGAACGUCCUGCUGGUACUUGGUGAAAAUCUCUAUUGAUUGCCGCUUUUUUAAUUGGAAGUUUUGGAACGCAACCCAAUUAUUUCUUUGGUUGUAAAAGCCUUGGGACC